UACGUAGGGGGGCAAGCGUUGUCCGGAUUUAUUGGGCGUAAAGAGCGUGUAGGCGGCCAUGCAGGUCCGUUGUGAAAACUGGAGGCUUAACCUCCAGACGUCGAUGGAAACCGUAUGGCUAGAGUCCGGAAGAGGAGAGUGGAAUUCCUGGUGUAGCGGUGAAAUGCGCAGAUAUCAGGAAGAACACCCGUGGCGAAGGCGGCCCCCUGGGCCCGUACCUGACGCUGAGGCGCGAAGGCUAGGGGGAGCGAAGG
rnacentral:rRNA from 1 species